UGGGGAAUCUUGCACAAUGGGGGAAACCCUGAUGCAGCGACGCCGCGUGAACGAUGAAGCCCUUCGGGGUGUAAAGUUCUUUCGACAGGAACGAUAAUGACGGUACCUGGAGAAGAAGCUGCGGCUAACUACGUGCCAGCAGCCGCGGUAAUACGUAGGCAGCGAGCGUUGUUCGGAGUUACUGGGCGUAAAGAGUGCGUAGGCGGCGAGCCAAGUUUGGUGUGAAAUCUCCCGGCUUAACCGGGAGGGUGCGCCGAAAACUGGUUGGCUGGAGUAUGGGAGAGGGAAGCGGAAUUCCUGGUGUAGCGGUGAAAUGCGUAGAUAUCAGGAGGAACACCUGCGGUGUAGACAGCUUUCUGGACCAAAACUGACGCUGAGGCACGAAAGCGUGGGUAGCAAACA
rnacentral:rRNA from 1 species